GCAUUGGGACUGAGACACUGCCCAGACUCCUACGGGAGGCUGCAGUAACGAAUAUUGGACAAUGGGCGCAAGCCUGAUCCAGCGACGCCGCGUGUAGGAUGAAGUCCUUCGGGAUGUAAACUACUGUCAGGGACCACCACGCAAUACGGGUUAAUACCUCGUAACGCUGAGGAAUCCCAGAGGAAGUCACGGCUAACUUCGUGCCAGCAGCCGCGGUAAGACGAAGGUGGCAAGCGUUGUUCGGAAUCACUUGGGCUUAAAGAGCAUGUAGGCGGAUGAUCAAGCGUCUUGUGAAAGCCCUCGGCUCAACCGGGGAAUUGCUUGGCGAACUGGUCAUCUUGAGGCAGGUAGGGGCAAGUGGAACUCUUGGUGGAGCGGUGGAAUGCGUAGAUAUCAAGAGGAACGCCAGAGGCGAAGGCGACUUGCUGGGCCUGUCCUGACGCUGAGAUGCGAAAGCCAGGGGAGCGAACGGGAUUAGAUACCCCGGUAGUCCUGGCCCUAAACGAUGUCCACUAGAUCGGAGAUUCUCUGACGGAUUUCUGGUCGAAAUGAAAACGUUAAGUGGACCGCCUGGGGAGUACGGUCGCAAGGCUAAAACUCAAAGGAAUUGACGGGGGCUCACACAAGCGGUGGAGCAUGUUGCUUAAUUCGAUGCAACGCGAAGAACCUUAUCCUGGACUUGACAUGUUCGGAUGCCUCCCUGGAAACAGGGUUCGGCUGCCCUUCGGGGUGAAACGAUCACAGGUGCUGCAUGGCUGUCGUCAGCUCGUGUCGUGAGAUGUUGGGUUAAGUCCCGUAACGAGCGAAACCCUUGUCGCUAGCUGCCAGCGCGUAAUGGCGGGGACUCUAGCGAGACUGCCGGUGUCAAACCGGAGGAAGGUGGGGAUGACGUCAAGUCCUCAUGGCCUUUAUGUCCAGGGCUGCAAACGUGCUACAAUGGCCGGUACAAAUCGACGCAAGACCGCGAGGUGGAGCAAAUCGCAAAAAGCCGGCCCCAGUUCGGAUUGGAGUCUGCAACUCGACUCCAUGAAGUCGGAAUCGCUAGUAAUCGCGUAUCAGCGUGACGCGGUGAAUGUGUUCCUGAGCAUUGUACACACCGCCCGUCAAGUCAUGGAAGCCGGGAGCACCCGAAGUCG
rnacentral:rRNA from 1 species